CCUACGGGAGGCAGCAGUAGGGAAUCUUUCACAAUGGGCGAAACCCUGAAGCAGCAACGCCGCGUGGAGGAUGAAGGUUUUCGGAUUGUAAACUCCUUUUGUUAGAGAAGAUAAUGACGGUAUCUAACGAAUAAGCACCGGCUAACUCCGUGCCAGCAGCCGCGGUAAUACGGAGGGUGCAAGCGUUACUCGGAAUCACUGGGCGUAAAGAGCGCGUAGGCGGGAUAGCAAGUCAGAUGUGAAAUCCUAGGGCUUAACCAUAGAACUGCAUUUGAAACUGUUAUUCUAGAGUAUGGGAGAGGUAGGUGGAAUUCUUGGUGUAGGGGUAAAAUCCGUAGAGAUCAAGAGGAAUACUCAUUGCGAAGGCGACCUGCUAGAACAUAACUGACGCUGAUGCGCGAAAGCGUGGGGAGCAAACAGGAUUAGAUACCCGGGUAGUC
rnacentral:rRNA from 1 species